ACAUGCAAGUCGUACGCUUCUUUUUCCACCGGAGCUUGCUCCACCGGAAAAAGAAGAGUGGCGAACGGGUGAGUAACACGUGGGUAACCUGCCCAUCAGAAGGGGAUAACACUUGGAAACAGGUGCUAAUACCGUAUAACAAUCGAAACCGCAUGGUUUUGAUUUGAAAGGCGCUUUCGGGUGUCGCUGAUGGAUGGACCCGCGGUGCAUUAGCUAGUUGGUGAGGUAACGGCUCACCAAGGCCACGAUGCAUAGCCGACCUGAGAGGGUGAUCGGCCACAUUGGGACUGAGACACGGCCCAAACUCCUACGGGAGGCAGCAGUAGGGAAUCUUCGGCAAUGGACGAAAGUCUGACCGAGCAACGCCGCGUGAGUGAAGAAGGUUUUCGGAUCGUAAAACUCUGUUGUUAGAGAAGAACAAGGAUGAGAGUAACUGUUCAUCCCUUGACGGUAUCUAACCAGAAAGCCACGGCUAACUACGUGCCAGCAGCCGCGGUAAUACGUAGGUGGCAAGCGUUGUCCGGAUUUAUUGGGCGUAAAGCGAGCGCAGGCGGUUUCUUAAGUCUGAUGUGAAAGCCCCCGGCUCAACCGGGGAGGGUCAUUGGAAACUGGGAGACUUGAGUGCAGAAGAGGAGAGUGGAAUUCCAUGUGUAGCGGUGAAAUGCGUAGAUAUAUGGAGGAACACCAGUGGCGAAGGCGGCUCUCUGGUCUGUAACUGACGCUGAGGCUCGAAAGCGUGGGGAGCAAACAGGAUUAGAUACCCUGGUAGUCCACGCCGUAAACGAUGAGUGCUAAGUGUUGGAGGGUUUCCGCCCUUCAGUGCUGCAGCUAACGCAUUAAGCACUCCGCCUGGGGAGUACGACCGCAAGGUUGAAACUCAAAGGAAUUGACGGGGGCCCGCACAAGCGGUGGAGCAUGUGGUUUAAUUCGAAGCAACGCGAAGAACCUUACCAGGUCUUGACAUCCUUUGACCACUCUAGAGAUAGAGCUUCCCCUUCGGGGGCAAAGUGACAGGUGGUGCAUGGUUGUCGUCAGCUCGUGUCGUGAGAUGUUGGGUUAAGUCCCGCAACGAGCGCAACCCUUAUUGUUAGUUGCCAUCAUUCAGUUGGGCACUCUAGCAAGACUGCCGGUGACAAAC
rnacentral:rRNA from 1 species